rnacentral:tRNA from 1 species
ACACUGGUAGUUCAAAGGUAGAUUUUUUGCCUUCCAUGAGCGAGACCCAGGUUUGAUUCCUGGCCAGUGCA